rnacentral:rRNA from 1 species
GACUAACGCUGGCGGCGUGCCCAAUACAUGCAAGUCGAACGGGAUUCUUUGAUCAGCUUGCUGAGAGAAGGAUCUAGUGGCGGACGGGUGAGUAACGCGUGGGAAUCUGCCUCUUACUGGGGGAUAACAGUGGGAAACUACUGCUAAUACCGCAUAAGAUCUUCGGAUGAAAGGUGCAACUGCACCGGUAAGAGAUGAGCCCGCGUCCCAUUAGCUAGUUGGUGAGGUAAAGGCUCACCAAGGCGACGAUGGGUAGCCGGCCUGAGAGGGUGAACGGCCACACUGGGACUGAGACACGGCCCAGACUCCUACGGGAGGCAGCAGUAGGGAAUCUUCCGCAAUGGGCCAAGCCUGACGGAGCGACGCCGCGUGAGUGAUGAAGGCCUUGGGCGUAAAGCUCUGUUCUUGAGGACGAAUAAGCCAGGGAGUAGGAAAGCCCGUGGUGAUGACUGUACUCGAAAGGAGAAAGCUCCGGCUAACGUACGUGCC